rnacentral:rRNA from 1 species
GACGGAGGGUGCUAGCGUUGUUCGGAAUCACUGGGCGUAAAGGGCGCGUAGGCGGCGCAUCGUGUCGGCUUGUGAAAGCCCGGGGCUCAACCCCGGAGGUGCGGCCGAAACUGAUGUGCUGGAGGCCGGAAGAGGAGGGUGGAAUACCCAGUGUAGAGGUGAAAUUCGUAGAUAUUGGGGGAACACCGGUGGCGAAAGCGGCUCUCUGGUCCGGUCCUGACGCUGAGGCGCGAAAGCGUGGGGAGCAAACAGG